AGCAGCGUGGCUCAGAGGAAAGAGCCCGGGCUUGGGAGUCAGAGGUCAUGGGUUCGAAUCCCAGCUCUGCCG
rfam:Ornithorhynchus anatinus chromosome 12, whole genome shotgun sequence.